CAUAACAUCAAUUUUAUACAGGGUGCUAUAACUCUAUUUGAACCAUAUCAACGAUGAAAUUGUUUAAUUGGAUUUGUUUAUUUCAUGCAAUUAUUUCAGGUUCCUGUUAUUGGAUAGCAUACAGUAAUAAUAAAUGUUAUUGGAUUAGUGAGGUACAGUCGAAUUUCACUACAGCUGAAAAUUCCUGUGAUUCUAUGAAUAGUUCAUUACUCGCUAUAGAAACCCUUACAGAAUUUCAGUAUAUAUGCGAUCAAAUAAACGAUUUCUUAACAUCUGAUUUCUGGGUCGGUCUGUAUAAAAUCAACACAGCAUAUGAAUGGAAGGCUGGAACAUCACCUGCAACUAGUAUGUGGUUAAUCGAUGAACCUAACCACACCGGAAAUUGUGUACGCUUGAAACCAUUAGAAGGUGAACACAAGCUGGCAGACCAUGAGUGCACCUUCGCAUAUCGUCACAUCUGUGAAAAAGACAUACCAGGGCCCGUAUUGACAACUUUAACACAUAAAAGUUCGGCUUUAUCUGCCAACCAGUGCCCAUUUGAAAACUAUGCAAACACUGGUAUAAUAAAAUGUGCUAAGUUGUGUUAUAAGAACUAUUUAUGUACAACGUUUGGGAUACAGAAGACGACGAAGGCUUGCUGGUUGUAUAGUCUUAAACUAACGUGCAGUGUGAACCUACCCUCAGUCAAUGUGUUUUAUAGACUAAACAGAUGCGGGUAAACUUCAUAAACAUAUUAUUUCAGACGCACACAAACGUUAUGUUUUAUUUUUAUUGGGGCGUAUAGUUGUGAAGAAACGUGUUGUAUGAACUGGCAAUGAUUGAACUUAAAACGUGUUUUGCAGACAAAGCAGAUGAGGACAUAUUAUUUCCAACAUGAACAAUCGCAAACUAAUCGGCUGUAAAUAU